rnacentral:lncRNA from 1 species
GGUUGGCGGCGGCGGUGCUGAGUGACCCGGCUCAAGCAAAAACUCGUCCUCUGGGCCUUCACUGCCCUCGCCCCAGCAGACGCUAAAGCCCCGAGGGCGAGGCGCCUGCUCCGUAUUGCUCCCUGUGUCCAGAUCGGUCACAGCAAUGCCAGAUCCUUAACCCGCCGAGCAAGGCCAGGGAUGGAACCCGCAACCUCAUGGUUCCCAGUCAGAUUCGUUAACCACUGCUUCACGACGGAACUUCAACGAGGAGUUUUAAUCUCAGGACGGUAGAAGCUGUGGAGUCCUGUGCACAAAAGAGGCACAUGAUGGCUGCAGAAGGAUACCUGGAGGCCAGAGACCAUUGAGGCUGCCGUGGUUAUAUCCCUCUAAUGACCUCCUUCUUCCCAUAGACUCCCAUGACUACAGAGGUGCUUAUGGACCGUACAGAGGUGAGUGGAGGAUAUUUGGGGCCCUCAGUGGUCCUGACCCCACCCUUUGUCUCAGGGAUUGUGUCCUGGGAUUCUUCCAGUCCAUGGGCCUGAGGACCCUGAAGAAACCACAAGCCCAGGGUUGUAAAGCCAGACUAGAGGUGAAAAGGAGAGUUCCUAUUUCUGGCAACCAAUGCAAUUUGGUGUAA